rnacentral:rRNA from 2 species
GUCGAACGAUGAAACUUUAUUGAUUUCUAUCGGAAUGAUUUAAAGCGGAUUAGUGGCGAACGGGUGAGUAACACGUGAGUAACCUGCCUUACACAAGGGGAUAGCCGUUGGAAACGACGAAUAAUACCCUAUGAAACCAUAUAAAGCGCAUGCAGUUGUGGUCAAAGUGUUUAGCGGUGUAAGAUGGACUUGCGUCUGAUUAGCUAGUUGGUGAGAUAACAGCUCACCAAGGCAACGAUCAGUAGCCGGCUUGAGAGAGUGUACGGCCACAUUGGGACUGAGACACGGCCCAGACUCCUACGGGAGGCAGCAGUGGGGAAUUUUGCACAAUGGGGGCAACCCUGAUGCAGCGACGCCGCGUGACUUAGAAGGCCUUCGGGUUGUAAAAAUCUUUUGUAUAGGAAGAAACUGACAGUACUAUACGAAUAAGGUCCGGCUAAUUACGUGCCAGCAGCCGCGGUAAUACGUAAGGACCGAGCGUUGUCCGGAAUCAUUGGGCGUAAAGGGUACGUAGGCGGGCGCUUAAGUUAGAAGUGAAAGGCUAUAGCUCAACUAUAGUAAGCUUCUAAAACUGGGCGUCUUGAGAGAUGGAAGGGAAAGUGGAAUUCCUAGUGUAGCGGUGGAAUGCGCAGAUAUUAGGAGGAAUACCGGUGGCGAAGGCGACUUUCUGGCCAUUUUCUG